UACGUAGGGUGCAAGCGUUGUCCGGAUUUAUUGGGCGUAAAGAGCGUGUAGGCGGCCAUACAGGUCCGUUGUGAAAACUGGAGGCUUAACCUCCAGACGUCGAUGGAAACCGUAUGGCUAGAGUCCGGAAGAGGAGAGUGGAAUUCCUGGUGUAGCGGUGAAAUGCGCAGAUAUCAGGAAGAACACCCGUGGCGAAGGCGGCUCUCUGGGACGGUACUGACGCUGAGGUGCGAAAGCGUGGGGAGCAAACAGG
rnacentral:rRNA from 1 species